CUAGUCUUCAUUAUAUUCCUUAGAUAGUACCUUGCCGAGUGAUUCUAACCAUAAUUUUCCCUGUAGAGCAGAUGCAGUGCCUAACAAAUAGGAUAUCCUCUAGUCUGGACAGGAAAAGGCAGAAAUACACCUACAAUGUUAAGUUAGGUUCGUCCCAAUACUCUUCCUCCCUUAGGUAUAAAUUGGCCAACAAUUCGCAAAACCCCAGUUCUCU